rnacentral:ribozyme from 1 species
UAAAAAAAAGUAGUACAAUGAGCAACGAUCAAGCAAAAAAAGGACGGCAGUUAUAGGUACUCUGCCUCUUCGUUUUUCUUCUUGUUCUGCUUGUUCUUUUCUCUCCGUC